AUGCCAACUACUGGACAAGAGGCGGUCACCCAACUGCAGAACAUUGCUGCUGCUUUCAAUUCCAAUAACCUUGUGUCGCAUAUGCCACCUACUGGACAAGAGGCGGUCACCCAACUGCAGAACAUUACUGCUGCUUUCAAUGCCACUAACAUAUGCUCACGUGUGCCAGCUACUGGACAAGAGGCGGUCACCCAGCUACAGAACAUCACAGGCCCAGAUGGUGCAUUACCAACUUUAGGACCAUACAAUGGAUUCAUACAAACAGACAAGGAGAAUAUUUCUGACAAUGAUGAAUCCGAUUGGCUGCACAGAAAUGAUGCGUACCAGAUGCAACGAAGUUCAAGAAGAAUGACACUCACACAACUGGCAGGGGUUGACAACCCCCAACUCAAUACAGUCGUCAAUCUACGUACCCCAGGGGUAACUUUUCAUGAUCAGGGUUAG
rnacentral:rRNA from 1 species